rnacentral:rRNA from 1 species
CCAAUAGCGUAUAUUAAAGUUGCUGCAGUUAAAAAGCUCGUAGUUGAAUUUCGGGACCAUCAUGUCGGUCGUGCCUCGGUACGUACUGGCAUUGUUGGUUUCUCCCUUCUGACGAACCAUGAUGUCAUUUAUUUGGUGUUGUGGGGAAUCAGGACUGUUACUUUGAAAAAAUUAGAGUGUUUAAAGCAGGCUCACGCUUGAACACAUUAGCAUGGAAUAAUGAAAUAGGACGUUUGAUUCUAUUUUGUUGGUUUCUAGGAUCGACGUAAUGAUUAAUAGGGAUAGUUGGGGGCAUUAGUAUUCAAUUGUCAGAGGUGAAAUUCUUGGAUUUAUUGAAGACUAACUACUGCGAAAGCAUUUGCCAAGGAUGUUUUCAUUAAUCAAGAACGAAAGUUAGGGGAUCGAAGACGAUCAGAUACCGUCGUAGUCUUAACCAUAAACUAUGCCGACUAGGGAUCGGAUGAUGUUAAUUUUUUAAUGACUCAUUCGGCGCCUUACG